UACGAAGGGGGCUAGCGUUGCUCGGAAUUACUGGGCGUAAAGCGCACGUAGGCGGCUUUGCAAGUUAGAGGUGAAAGCCCGGGGCUCAACCCCGGAAUUGCCUUUAAAACUGCAUCGCUAGAAUUGUGGAGAGGUAAGUGGAAUUCCUAGUGUAGAGGUGAAAUUCGUAGAUAUUAGGAAGAACACCAGUGGCGAAGGCGGCUCACUGGUCCGGUACUGACGCUGAGGUGCGAAAGCGUGGGGAGCAAACAGG
rnacentral:rRNA from 1 species